rfam:Callipepla squamata strain Texas jcf7180005228356, whole genome shotgun sequence.
CGGCAUUCCGAACCCUCCUGGUGGCUGCCCUGCUAGCUUCCAGGGAUAAGAACGAAUGCCAGAGCGAAACGGUGAUUCAUCCAAAACGUGGAGCUCCUGUCCCGUGGCUCUUCGUUAUUUCACGUCUUCAACAUCU